AGCCAUUGCUAUCGGAGUCCGAUUUAGCCAUGCUAGUUGCACGAGUUUAGACUCGUAGCAUAUAGCUCAGUAACACGUGGCCAAACUAUCCUACAGACCGCGAUAACCUCGGGAAACUGAGGCCAAUAGCGGAUAUAACUCUCAUGCUGGAGUGCAGAGAGUUAGAAACGUUCCGGCGCUGUAGGAUGUGGCUGCGGCCGAUUAGGUAGAUGGUGGGGUAACGGCCCACCAUGCCGAUAAUCGGUACAGGUUGUGAGAGCAAGAGCCUGGAGACGGUAUCUGAGACAAGAUACCGGGCCCUACGGGGCGCAGCAGGCGCGAAACCUUUACACUGCACGACAGUGCGAUAGGGGGACUCCGAGUGUGAGGGCAUAUAGCCCUCGCUUUUCUGAACCGUAAGGUGGUUCAGGAACAAGGACUGGGCAAGACCGGUGCCAGCCGCCGCGGUAAUACCGGCAGUCCAAGUGAUGGCCGAUAUUAUUGGGCCUAAAGCGUCCGUAGCUUGCUGUGUAAGUCCAUUGGGAAAUCGACCAGCUCAACUGGUCGGCGUCCGGUGGAAACUACACAGCUUGGGGCCGAGAGACUCAACGGGUACGUCCGGGGUAGGAGUGAAAUCCUGUAAUCCUGGACGGACCACCAAUGGGGAAACCACGUUGAGAGACCGGACCCGACAGUGAGGGACGAAAGCCAGGGUCUCGAACCGGAUUAGAUACCCGGGUAGUCCUGGCUGUAAACAAUGCUCGCUAGGUAUGUCACGCGCCAUGAGCACGUGAUGUGCCGUAGUGAAGACGAUAAGCGAGCCGCCUGGGAAGUACGUCCGCAAGGAUGAAACUUAAAGGAAUUGGCGGGGGAGCACCACAACCGGAGGAGCCUGCGGUUUAAUUGGAUUCAACGCCGGGA
rnacentral:rRNA from 1 species